UUAGAGUUUGAUCCUGGCUCAGGACGAACGCUGGCUGCGUGCUUAACACAUNCAAGUCGAACGNUGAAGCCUGGUGCUUGCACCGGGUGGAUGAGUGGCGAACGGGUGAGUAACANGUGAGUAACCUGCCCCUGACUUCGGGAUAAGCCCGGGAAACUGGGUCUAAUACCGGAUANGACUGCCGGACGCAUGUCUGGUGGUGGAAAGUUUUUUCGGUUGGGGAUGGGCUCGCGGCCUAUCAGUUUGUUGGUGAGGUAAUGGCUCACCAAGACGACGACGGGUAGCCGNCCUGAGAGGGCGACCGGCCACACUGGGANUGAGACACGGCCCAGACUCCUACGGGAGGCAGCAGUGGGGAAUAUUGCACAAUGGGGGAAACCCUGAUGCAGCGACCGCAGCGUGCGGGANGACGGCCUUCGGGUUGUAAACCGCUUUCAGCAGGAAGAAGCGCAAGU
rnacentral:rRNA from 1 species